AGAGGUGAUAUUCUCGGACCCUA
rnacentral:siRNA from 1 species